CACGUGGGUAACCUGCCCAUCAGAAGGGGAUAACACUUGGAAACAGGUGCUAAUACCGUAUAACAAUCGAAACCGCAUGGUUUUGAUUUGAAAGGCGCUUUCGGGUGUCGCUGAUGGAUGGACCCGCGGUGCAUUAGCUAGUUGGUGAGGUAACGGCUCACCAAGGCCACGAUGCAUAGCCGACCUGAGAGGGUGAUCGGCCACAUUGGGACUGAGACACGGCCCAAACUCCUACGGGAGGCAGCAGUAGGGAAUCUUCGGCAAUGGACGAAAGUCUGACCGAGCAACGCCGCGUGAGUGAAGAAGGUUUUCGGAUCGUAAAACUCUGUUGUUAGAGAAGAACAAGGAUGAGAGUAACUGUUCAUCCCUUGACGGUAUCUAACCAGAAAGCCACGGCUAACUACGUGCCAGCAGCCGCGGUAAUACGUAGGUGGCAAGCGUUGUCCGGAUUUAUUGGGCGUAAAGCGAGCGCAGGCGGUUUCUUAAGUCUGAUGUGAAAGCCCCCGGCUCAACCGGGGAGGGUCAUUGGAAACUGGGAGACUUGAGUGCAGAAGAGGAGAGUGGAAUUCCAUGUGUAGCGGUGAAAUGCGUAGAUAUAUGGAGGAACACCAGUGGCGAAGGCGGCUCUCUGGUCUGUAACUGACGCUGAGGCUCGAAAGCGUGGGGAGCAAACAGGAUUAGAUACCCUGGUAGUCCACGCCGUAAACGAUGAGUGCUAAGUGUUGGAGGGUUUCCGCCCUUCAGUGCUGCAGCUAACGCAUUAAGCACUCCGCCUGGGGAGUACGACCGCAAGGUUGAAACUCAAAGGAAUUGACGGGGGCCCGCACAAGCGGUGGAGCAUGUGGUUUAAUUCGAAGCAACGCGAAGAACCUUACCAGGUCUUGACAUCCUUUGACCACUCUA
rnacentral:rRNA from 1 species